rnacentral:rRNA from 1 species
CCUACGGGUGGCAGCAGUCGAGAAUUAUUCACAAUGGGGGAAACCCUGAUGCAGCAACGCCGCGUGAGUGAUGACGGCCUUCGGGUUGUAAAGCUCUGUCUUCAGUGACGAUAAUGACGGUACCUAAGUAGGAAUCCUCUGCUAACUAUGUGUCAGAAGCCGCGGUAAUACUUAGGUGGCGAGCGUUGUCCGGAUUUACUGGGCGGAAAGGUGGCUGAGGCGGACUUUUAAGUGAGAUGUGAAAUACUCUGGCUAAACUUGAGUGCUGCAUUUCAAACUGGAAGUCUAGAGUGCAGGAGAGGAGAAUGGAAUUCCUAGGGUAGCGGUGAAAUGCGUAGAUAUUAGGAAGAACACCAGUGGCGAAGGCGAUUCUCUGGACUGUAACUGACGCUGAGGCUCGAAAGCGUGGGGAGCAAACAGGAUUAGAUACCCCGGUAGUC